AAACCGUUCAGGGGUAAACCUGAGAAACCCAAAAGAUCGAAUGGGGAGAUUCAUCGUCAGCGCAUUUGGUAUAUAUGUAAGUUAUGAUGCGGGUUACUUUCGAGUAUUGCCUGCACAUUCUUAUAUAUUUAAUUGCUAGAUGUUGUCGGCGUGCACUUCUCCCCUAGUAGGACGUCGCGACCCGUUGGGUGUUGGUCUACGGCCCGAGUGGGAGCCUUUGAUACUUUAAAAAUAUUAAAGACCCUCGGUGUUUCCUGACCAACUGCCCGGCGGUAUUCGUACGGUAUUAAGCCGCAUUUAUUUGCGUUCACACCCGUCGCAAGCGCGGCCAGUUUCUGAUAGUGCGGACCUAGUGCCGUCGUUGGGCCUGGCCAACUGUUGGCUGUUGCGGUGUUCUGGAACUGGCUAAAAAUUAAUUAACCGGUCGGCGACGCUAACUGCUUUUGGGUACUUUUCAGGA
rnacentral:rRNA from 1 species